GACGUAGGGCGCGAGCGUUGUCCGGAUUUAUUGGGCGUAAAGAGCCCGUAGGCGGCUUGUCGCGUCAACUGUGAAAACCCGUGGCUCAACCAUGUGGUCUGCAGUCGAUACGGGCAGGCUAGAAUUCGGUAGGGGAGACUGGAAUUCCUGGUGUAGCGGUGAAAUGCGCAGAUAUCAGGAGGAACACCGGUGGCGAAGGCGGGUCUCUGGGCCGAUAUUGACGCUGAGGAGCGAAAGCGUGGGGAGCGAACAGG
rnacentral:rRNA from 1 species